ACAGCAAGGGUUAAGUAUCCAAAAUCAUGUUCAAACAAUUAGGAAACAAAACCAAUUGGAUUCACAUUCAUACCAAUCACUGUCAUCAUUUCAUGAACCAUUAGGUCAAAGUAACAAACAGAAACCCCAGAAGUCAACAGAAAGACUUGAUUCAAAACCAAUCUAAACAUUUUUCAAAAAUCACCAAAUAAAUCAUGAUCAAACCUAACACAUAGCAUGGUAAGCAUGUCAAAUUUCAUCCCAUUUGGACAAGUGGAAGGCAGUCAAUGAAAAUCAGAAAGACAAAGUCAAUUUGAACAUGCUCAAUGGAGUCAACCAAACAUGCAUCAACUUAGAAAAAUCAUAAGUCUAGAAUGGUGUAUGAUAAAUGAAUGGGAC
rnacentral:lncRNA from 1 species